rnacentral:rRNA from 1 species
GACGAACGCUGGCGGCGUGCUUAACACAUGCAAGUCGAACGGAAAGGCCCUGCUUUUGUGGGGUGCUCGAGUGGCGAACGGGUGAGUAACACGUGAGUAACCUGCCCUUGACUUUGGGAUAACUUCAGGAAACUGGGGCUAAUACCGGAUAGGGGCUCCUGCUGCAUGGUGGGGGUUGGAAAGUUUCGGCGGUUGGGGAUGGACUCGCGGCUUAUCAGCUUGUUGGUGGGGUAGUGGCUUACCAAGGCUUUGACGGGUAGCCGGCCUGAGAGGGUGACCGGCCACAUUGGGACUGAGAUACGGCCCAGACUCCUACGGGAGGCAGCAGUGGGGAAUAUUGCACAAUGGGCGGAAGCCUGAUGCAGCAACGCCGCGUGCGGGAUGACGGCCUUCGGGUUGUAAACCGCUUUCGCCUGUGACGAAGCGUGAGUGACGGUAAUGGGUAAAGAAGCAGCGGCUAACUACGUG